UCUGACUCAGGCUGUUAUGUUAGUAAUAGAUUACAAUGAAGACACAGGAGGAACAGAGAGGAGGCUGUUGUAAUCUAGGGGAGAAAUGAUGAUGGCUGCUAUGAUCUGAAUGCUUGUGUCCCCCUAAUAUUCAUUUAUUGAAACCAAACCUAACCCCCAAUGUGAUGAUACUAGGAGGUGGGGCCUUUGGGAGAUAACUAGGCUGUGAGAGUGGAGCCCUCAUGAACAGGGGAUUUGUCCCUUGUAAAAGAGGAACAAGGGAGGUUGUUUUCCCUUUCCACCACCGGAGGACUCAGAGAAGAAGACGCCAUCUACCAAGCAGGGAGCAGGCCCUCCUCACCAGACACUGAAUCUGAAAACACUUGAAUCCUGGACUUCCCAGCCUUCAGAACUGUCAUUUACUCAUUCAGCGUCACUAGUGGGACCUUCACAAGGCAAAUGCGCCAGUGAGUUGCACUCUAACAAGGAUUACCAGUUUUGGGGAGGAAGAUCACAAAGUGACAUUUUUAUCACAGUAAAUCAAUGGCACAUGCUAUCAACAUGAAUAACUAUUGAUGUUAACUUGAUCACCUGGCUGAGAAAACCUUGUUGGGAGUUUGAUUAGACGGCUGAGAAAGACAGCAAAUCUACAGGGUUUGUCAAAGAUAAGAUCGUUGUCAUGGCAUGAAAAGGAUGACCUUUCCAGUCUGCAAUACCUGCUUGACCACUAAGACCAAACAGCUCAAAUUAAAGGUAACAAAUUCCGCAGAGGCAAUUGUUCAACACAGGAAAAAGAAACCACUUUAAGGAUUUUAAACUGGAAGAGAUUUUACAUAAGCUGUUUUAAACAAAACCAUUGGAUGACCUGGAGUAACAGUGUCGGAAACUCAGCUGAGCUGGAUAGAGAACUGAGCUGCCCGUUGUUGGAGAAGUUGAUUAAAGCAGCAGCCGAAGAUCGAAGUAACAGUCAAGACUGUAAUCACUUACUGCAAUAGUAUAAGCAAGAGGCCAAAACCAAAGAAACUGCCAACUCACCCAGGUCUUCUAAAUUCCCCAGAAAGGUGCACUAGUGGAGGGUCAGUGAAUCAGGACAGACAUGGGGGUCAGCUCACGAUUGAGGAAGCCCCAAACAAAAAUCUCCAGUAGUAUUAUGAACCCUGGAGCAGGAGGUUGGAGUGAGACAAGGAGAGCUAGGAGUAGAAGAGUAUGGAGUCGGAGGAGGGAACGGUUUCUUAAGGUCUCCUCCCACUCUACUCUUAAGAAAGCUUCAGUAGAAGCACCUGAAGAAAACUCCAGCAGGAAGCCCUCAGAUAAAGAAACUUCUGAAUGAAGACACCUAGGCUAGGAAUGCAAAUAUGUUUAAGAGCAUGGGCCAUUAGGGGAAUCUGAGUUCCAGAAUGCAAUUCUCUUUAAAGAUUGCAAUGCACUGGGUAUGCCCCAAGUCUGGGGAGGGCAACUUUCCUCGGAGGGGUUUGCCAGAUAAAGCCUUUGUCAUUGCCUGUGGUUGGGCCUGAAAUAUCAAACAUAGAUUUUUGGCCAGGACUCCUCAGCAGGAUCUAGUCAGGGCCUUCACAAAGUACAUUCAGAAUGACAAUUGACCCACCAGAAAGCCAUCAUGCCACCACUUGAUAUUUUAAAUGAAAAGACCCACCAACAUAUCUGAUAUCCAUAUCUGAUACCCAGUAGAAUUGGAAUGCUGCUAUCACCACUGUCACUAUUGUCACUACCACACCUGCCUCUAGAAACCCAGCAAUCUGGAGGAUGGACCCUGGAUAAUGUUGCAGGCAAACCUCAUUUCUCUACAACUGUGCUUUCCACCAACAGUCGAUUAAAGGAAGACGAAGAUCGAGUGUGUGUGGAUGAUACAGCAAAUAAACCUUCUUCUAGUUCUUAAAGAUUAUGGUUUUCAGUGUUUAGUGAGCAUCCGUGUUCAUCUUUAAAGGAUAGAAAAAUGCAGGAGGCAUCUUGUAUCCAUGAAGAUACUAAAACACGGAUUUCCUCAGGAAAUUGAUCACUCAAGCAUCCAUAAUCUUAGUAGACUGCCCUUAUAGUCGUAUUGCAGAAUGUGUGAUCUGCCAUCUACUGAGGGCUCAUUUUUCCCUCUCCUCUCUCAUCCAAGAUUGGUGAUAGUUUCAAAUUUUUCUCCCACUAUUAUGUAGAAUAAUUUCCAAACUUGACACUCAAUUGAAUCAUGGUGUCCAGGAAAAUAGAUAAAAUAAAUAUGACUUCAUAUACCAGAAGUCAUAUUCCUUUGAAUACAAUCAGGGCCAUAAAUGGCACUUGCUUCUAUAACACAAAGUGCUAUUAUAAUUAUAUACAUGAUUUUUUAAAUAAUUAAGUAACUUGGAACCAGUUUCUAUUGCAAUAAUUAUAAGAAACAAAGACCUCCAACUGAAUGAACCCCUCUGAAAUAUUUUAAUAAACUCUGAGGAGUACUAUUUGUCAAGCAAAGAAAUACUGAAUUAAGGUAAAUGCCAGCUUAGGAUGAAAAGAACAGCAACAGUGCCUACCUUCAUUACCUCAGCCUCUCCCUGGCUAAGAUAAUCACUUAAUCUUUUAUGCCUUUGCUAAAACCUCAUUAGUAAAAAGGAGACCUGCCUACUAAGCAUAAGGUUAAGGCUUUAAUGGACUUUAGAAAUCAUUUACUUUUAUGACUCAAAGCACUGAAGUGCAAAUUCUUUUUAUUUGAAUAUUUGAGGGCAUUAAAUGAGCAUUUUUAAUGGAUUUCAAUUGUCAGGAUAAAAUAAAAUUUCUCAAGGGGAAUCUGAAUUUUAACAAACAUUAAAAUCAAAGAAGUAAAAAGAUGAAUAAAUGGAGAAAAAGUAUUGUAGUAACAUCAAUUUUUGCCAAUCUAAUUUUUUAACAAAAACUUUUAAGUCUAUUUUUGGCCAGGCAUGGUGGCUCACCCCUGUAAUCCAGGGCUUUGGGAGGCUGAGGCAGGAGGAUCACUUGAGGCCAGGAGUUCGAGACCAGCCUAGCCAACAUGGUGAAACCCUGUAUCUACUAGAAAUACAAAACUUAGCCAGGCAUGGUGGUGGGCACCAGUAAUCACAGCUACUCGGGAGGCUGAGGCAGGAGAAUCGUUUGAACCCGGGAGGUGCAGGUUGCAGUAAGCGCCACUACACUCCAGCCUGGGUGACACAGCAAUACACCAUCUCAAAUUGAGUAUAUUUAUUUAGUUUUAAAACUAACUUUGAAAAUCUCUUCACCUAGGGAAGUUAUUUCCUGAAACUAUUUUCUACUGCCUUUUAGAAACACUGCCUUCCUGGUUUUGUUUCUUUUUUGUAUGUUGGCUUUGUUUGGUUUGGGUUAUGUUUGUUUGAAGAAAAAAAAAAAAACCUGAAGUGAUUCUUGAAGUAUUUUUAAGUGAGCACAUUUUAAUUUGACAUAACAUUGGAUUUCACUUGGUGAAAAGAGAGAUACUGAAUAAUUAGUAGUAUCUGAUAAGAUGUUUAGACGGAGAAGUGUAGACUCACCAUGUACAAAGCAGCUAUGAUGGUGUUCGCCCACCUCUUCCCCUGCCUAAUGCCUAUUCAUCUGACAUUUAUCAUCCAGAUUUCACUUCCUCUAGGAAGCUUCCUUGAUGCCUCCAAACAAGGUCGAAAGCACUAUCUACAUGCUUCUUAGCAAUCUGUAGCUCUACCAUCAACAUUUUAUUCUGAUUUUGCAUUUACCUUCUUUCCUCUAGUAGAAUAUGUGCCAGACUGUGUCUUGCUAAACAUUGUUAAAUAGCACUAGUAUACUGCUGGUACAGAAUAAGACAACCAACAAAUAUUGAAUGAAUGAAUGAGUGAACCCAGAGUUAAGCAUCUGCUCACUUAGUGAUUGGGUUGGUUUCAGGUGGAAAGUCCAUAGGCUGAUAUCAAUUUGACUGGUAUCAGUAAGAAGGGAAGUGUAAGAUACACAGGUGUCAGUUUCCUGAGGGUCUUAGAUGAAUGCUAUGUAGACUGGACUUAUUUCAGUUGUUAGCUCUAGAUAUGAGGGACAGGCAGACGAUCACUCUGAAGCAGGUUGGAGCACAUUUUAGUGGGCAUUUAUUGGUUACCUUCUCAGUAUAUUAUCUAGUCUCUGUUAUCCCAGAAAUACCCCAAAUUGCAAGCCACUUAGCAAAAGAAAUUUAAUCUUUACACCCUGUUCUAAUUUAAUCUACCUUUUUGCUACUACCAGCUUUCCUUGGCCAUGGUGACUGAGUCAAGGACAGACUCAUAAUCUAAGGCAAAGCAAUAAGUCAUCAGGAGACUCAAUACCUGCGUGUCUCUCAACCAUUGGAAAAAGUGAAUAUUCUUUGUAUCUGGAUGUGAAUGAGAAAAUACACAACCCCAGGAGCUGCUAGAACCCAUCUUGAGUUUGAAGAGUUUGCCUUAUAAUAAAACCAAUAUCAAAAAAGGAGGGUCUAAUAUGGGGAGGUACAAGCUUUUAGUGAUAUUGUUUGAGUCUUGGAUAAAGAUUCACUUGAAGCUAGAAUCUGCCCUCCGCAUUCCUUUAUAAACCUUGCGACACAUGAAACUGAGCGUGUUACCUCUCAAAAGUAUUCCCACAACAGUAGUCACAAACCUGUCAUAACAGUCAACAUACUACAUUGAAAUAAUUUGUUUAUAUGUGCAUUCCCCUAUACUGUGAGCCUUUGGGGCAUCAGACAUGUCUUGUCACCUAGGAUGGUAUCUGGCACAUAUUUAGUGCUCUAUAAAUCUUUGUAGAAUUAACAAAUGAAUGGAUGGAUAAGAGUUGCAAUAGAGGUAAAUUAUAUUUCCAAAUUUUUUUAUUUAUUCCUGACAAAUUAAUCAUAUUCCUGUAUUUUUUUCUCUAUAUUUCAAAGGUAAUUAGAUGUCAACACUUUUUACUUUCCUUUUUCUGAAGGUUUUAUAAGGAAACUAUGUGCAGGAUAUCAAUUUUUUGGAGAAUGACUCCCACAUUGGCUAUUCUAGCUUAUUCCCACAGGAAUUCCUAAAACCAAGCAAAUAAUUUCAAAUUUGUUGAGAUCGCAUAAUUUAGUUUAGAAUAAAGAGAUCUUGUCACCUUUCCUCUAAAGGAAGUGUCUGCUACAGGCAUUCCCUAUGGGUAUGUAUAAUUGGAAAAUUAAAAAGCAUAUUUAAAGGCAACAUUGUGCUAUAAAAAAUGUUGGCAAUGUUCCAAGGGGGACUGUGUAUGCUAUUAGAUAUUUUUGAGAAUUUACUCUGCCUGUGCUAAGAAUUUUCAAUAAUUCCCUUCUUGGGUAAAAUUAGGGCAUCAGCAGAGAAGUAAACUCUCUAAUAUAAGCAGCAAGUUUCCAUUUUUCACCAUAAUGUGUUCCUAAAAACUAUGUUGGGAAGUAAAAUGAUUAAAAAUAGAACUUUUUUGCUUUCAUACAAUUUUCGUUAAGUUUAAAACUGAAGUUAUUUGUUCACAUAAGCAAGUAAUAUUUAUAUACUGGUUAGGUGAGAUAUUGAUCGUGGCUUUCUUCUGGAGCCAAGAGAGAAUAAAACAACUGGACAAUGUAAGAUGGCUAUGUCUCUCAGAAAGUAAUACAGUCGAAAGCCUAGUUCAAAGUAAGAAACACAUAGUAGAUAUAACACCACUGUUCAUUCCAGAGCCUGUGGAAGGUGGGGCUAUUUGCUCAUGUCAUUCUUUCCUGAUUUAUCUAUAUUAAACCUUAGAAUCUUUCUUAAUACCAAACUUGAAAUGUCACUAGCAUUCAUUUGAAAUUGUUACUAGCAUUGACAGGUUUAAUACCGUAGACUUAAGGUGACUGGCUUACAUGCCUACAACCAGGGAAACAUUUUCACCUGGUGGCAACAUCUUGAUUUGCAGUCAUAGACCCAGGAGAAAGAAUCCAACAUUUUAAGUCUAAUUCAGCAAAACCAGGUCUACAAAUAGUGGCAAACAUAACUUAAGAAAUUAUCUUUAAAAUGAUGGCUUUUACUACACUUCG
rnacentral:lncRNA from 1 species